AUCUGUAAGAAAUUAUACCAAGUGUCAGGUUCCUUCUGUGAGGUUUCACAUAGAACAGAUGCUCUCCACAGCAACAGUUAAAAGCCCUUGAUCCUGUGCAGUGGACCAUUGCAAGUAUAAAUAAUCCCAGCCAGUUUUCUUCAUGGAAACUGUUCUUUUCAAAGGCUGGUGAGCGCACAGCAGCUCCCUUUUCAGACAGCUCUGUGGUAGCAGUAGGACUUCAGGAGAAUCCUUGCACAAGGUGAGAGCAAGAAAGAUGCUGAGAGCUCCGAGAGGGCACUAAAGGUGUUUGUUUAUUUGUUUAUGUUGCAGGUCUCUCAGCCACCCCUGUGAAGGCAAGGUGAGCCCUUCUGCCUGUGCAGAGAGCUGCCUCUGACUGCCAGAAGUGUCCUCCUGAACAGCAAGAUUACAAAUUUGGUUGAUACAACAGGAAAGGUGACAUCAGAUGGGGGCAUAUGAGGACUUGUGUCUCUUGGGUUUAGGAAGAAGACAGCCACAAGAAUAAGCGUCGCUCCUCUCCCUGUGAAAAUUGUCUUAUCAGCAAAGGCUCCUCAGCACCCUUCAGAUAAGUAGCCCAGGGGCCCCCAGGCUGCUCCCCUGUCCUUCAGCCAGAGCUCCUCCUGCUCCACAGCCCUGCAGCAAUUUAAAGCAUCCAGAAAUGGGCCUUUCAUUUAGAAGAACAUGAAAUUGAAGUAAGAAUAAUACCUGCUGAUGUAGCUGUGUGGUACCAAAUCACAUCACUCAGCCUGGCUGUUCUCAUGCUCUGUGCAAACUCUGAUGCUUUUUGCAUUUAGGCAAUUUCUCUUUGCUAUUCUUAAAUAAAAAAAAGCCUCACCCUGCCAAGACUUGGCCCUUUAGGGAGCAUGCAGGUGCCCUACUGCACUCAUUCCAGCUGGGAGGAUAAGGCUGGGUUUAAGGAGAGCUGUGGCCCAUCACACACACCUCACUCGUGGUGUUUGUAACCCUCCAAAUAAACCCAGGGAUGAAGGCAGGAGGAGCUGGUCAAAAGUCCCAGUGGUUGCACAGAAACUUGCUGAAGUUGCAAUAAUGUAAAAUGAGCAGGAGGUUCAAAUUAAGGUAACGAUUCUUUAGGGUUUGUUUAUUUAUUUUAACGUAUGUAAGUGCACUUCUUCUUUCAUAGCCACACCAAACAAAGCUGAGGGGGAAAUGGCACGACCCAGGAUCUCCACUGUGACUGCUUUGGUUGCUGCCUUGGAGAGCCUACCUAGAACACAGGCUAGCCAAGGCUAAGAGAAUGAAAGUGGGUGUUUAUUAAAGGCCUUCCACAGACACACCUUGAGCAGUCAGAAGCCUCUGAGAGGGGCUACACCAGGAUGGACCAGGGUUAUGGGUUUUUCAGACAGAUAUAAGUUUGGUCUAUUUGCAUAUCAGAGGUUAAUUGCCCAACUAUAGCUUCAGGGAAUGAAGUCACAUUCCCCCCGUUUGCUUCUCCUCCCCAGUUCACUUUUAUUUAUACUUUUGGGGCCUGAGGCUGAGCUGUCCUUGGUUCUCAGGCCUGCAAGGAUUGUUUUGUCUGACCAAAAUGUGAAGAGAGCUUGCUAAUGCUUUAUAUGGAGCUCAGAGUUAUACACUAAUGCAGUACGGGAUUAGAAAAAUAUAAAUGCUAAAACUUAAGGCAUCAGUUUGGGAUGCAAUCCUUGGGAAAGAAAGAGGGAUGAGCCCCUUCCUCCAAGGGCCACAGGCAGCACAGGCCUGUGUUGUCAGUCAGGGUGCCUCAGGCUGUCCCUGAGAUGCACAGGGAUCCAGCUCUCCAAAGGGAAUCCAGGGAUGCAGCUCUCCAAGAGGGAUCCCUGGAUCCAGGUCUCCAAGAGGGAUUUAGGGAUGCAGCUCUCCAAAGGAGAGCCAGGGAUCCAGCUCUCUGAGAGGGAUCCAGGGCUUCAGUGCUCUGAGUGGGAUCCAGGGAUCCAGCUCUCCAAAGGGGAUGCAGGGAUGAGCUCUCCUAGGGGAACCCAGGGAUCCAGCUCUCCAAGGGAGAUCCAGCUCUCCAAAGGGGACCCAGGGAUGAGCUCUCCAAGGGGGAUCCUGGAUCCAGCUCUCCCAGGGCCAUCCAGGGAUGGAGUACUCCAAGGCACCCAUGGGGUGUCCCACAGCCUCUGGGAGAAGUACCAGCCUCAGCUGGAGCCUGCAGUCCUUUGGUGCAUGUUCUCCAAGAAGAUUAAUGAAAAUCCAGGUGCAGCUGCCAGUGAUAAAUAGCACCAUGUGUUCAGAGACAAACCUCCAUCUCCAUUACACUAUUUUUAAGAGGUCUAUUAGCAACGUAAGCACUCGUGGAAAUAGUCCUACAUUUCCAAUGUAUCCCUGAAUAGAUCCCAGUGACUUGGUGCUGACACGUCUUUUCACCCAAUCAUGAAAUUCAGUGCAGGAUUUUUUUUAGCCUUAAAUUAAAUUAAGCUCAUCUGUGUCAGGGCCCUUUUCUUUUAUGACGAUACUUCAUUUCAAUCUAGAUCUCAAAGCAAAAAGGGAAUUUUAAAUUUAUUAUUAGAAACUCAAAAGGAAGCUCUUAAGAAGAUCCUCUGUUAAAAAUUGUAGUCUUGGUGUUCUGCAGAGAGAAUUGAUAAUCAGGCUACAGCACAGCAAGUAACAAAUAUCCACUGCAUUUCUUUUCAAUUAAGCAUUUCAUUUCAAUUAAUUACUCAGAAAAAAUCUAUCUCGUUUCUUUCCACACUGCAGACAAUUUUCCCCCAAAACAUUUGCUUUGUUGAAAUCAUGGACAUCCAUUUGGAAAUUCUUCAUUAGCUAGCACGGCCUGCUCAAACCUGAGCCAAAAAAUACAAUAUCAUAUUAAAAAUCUUCCAUAGCUGGGCUUAGAUGUUGCAGCUACUGUGGAAUUUGUAUUAAAUUCAGAGAGAAUAAAAGCAGACAUUGUCCCUUAAUGGGCACUUCUGGUGAAAGUGCACAAUAAUACCAAGGCAUACUCUCUCCCUUGCUUGUAGAUGAUAUUUAUCCUCUUAGCAUUGCACAGAAACUUUGAGGGCUGCUUGGUGGAAGGCAGAUGUGCACAUCCAGCUCCCUCCCUGGAAAUACAAACAGGUCCUUCAGCUGCUGCCAAGCAGGACAGGCUGCUACAAUCCUUGAUGCAUUUACACCUCCACAAGGAUCCUGUUAUUUCCUGUGAUUGAAACUGUAUCUGAAAUUGUUUGGAUGGCACAUAAUAUUCAGAAAAGCAGUACUAGAUGCAAAGAAGAGAAUGUAAUGCCAAUGUGAGAUGAGGCUGGCUCUGGGUCUUGUAAUAAUAUAUAUCAUUAGCUAUCCUAACUGACAUAAAUGAGAGAAUAAAAAUGCUAUUUCUCUGUAAUAGUUGAAAGAGAAGAAAAUACCAUGCUUUUCAGGAGCUUCUGUACCUUAAGGCAAAACAGCUUUUUAAUGCUUUUCCUUGGAUUUGAUGCUAGUUUCUUCCCCAUUACAUGGCUUAAUAAAAACAAGGUUCAUGUGGCACUGAGCAGCACGGUUCCAAAAUGUUUUUGUGUCAAAUAAAUUAAUAGCUUUCUAGGCUGCCAUCAUGUACCUUCAUAAGCUGUGUCUCCCAUGAAAAUUAAAUGGAGGUGAAGAAGCACACUGGCAAAUCCUGACUGAGCUGGGCAAGCACCUGAAAAAGAGAGGUUCAGUUCCAGCUUAGAAAAGGCUUGGGGAAACUGGGAGGGGAACUUAAUGCCCAAGCUGCUGUGGCAGAUUAAAAACAAUAAGUGAGCAGUCUCAAAAAGGCUCUGGAUCCACACAGAAUGUGGGGGUGGGCAGGGCCAGCCAGAAUUGUGUGAAAGGGACCUGCAUGGCUGGAAAAUCAGUGGCCAGGAAGAAACAAAUGGCAUUUCCCAAUGGCACUGACAUAAGGCUACCAGAGAGGGUCAGGUACUUUUCUGAAUUUGGUUUUCAGUAGAAGUUUCCAGAUGACUCCAAAUAGAGAGCAAACUAAAGUAAUUAACAAUAGAGGUAUGAAUGGGUAGAGGAACAGGUCCUGGCAGUGAUUAGAACAGUUCAAAAUGUUUUGAUAUAAAAUAGCCAGUUGAAUUCUGGAUUCCAUCUAAACAAAGCAGAUAUUUCAAUUUAUUCCAUUUCCUUUUAUUUUUGUUUUUGCUUUUGGUUUGGGUUUUUUGGGUUGGUUUUAGUUUUGGUUUUGAUUUGGGUUUUUUGAUAGACCAUUUCUCAUUCUGAAUAUCCCAAUUCAGAGGAACUCAAGACAUCUUGCAGAGCUAUAUCAAAUCAUUGAGACCUCCAUGUUUGUGAAACACAUUUUACAAACACAUAUUUAAUAAGGUUUUUUGGUUCUGGAUUUUAAGACUUGGAACAACCUUAGUGAAACAAAUAGUUCCCACAAAAUAUUCUGCAAUGAGACCAGAUUUUAUGAUCCUGAAGCUUUCCUUUGAAUGGGUGCUCCAAGCUGUGCCCAGUUCUGCAGUUCCAAUUUUGUGCUUGCUGUUCAAUAUUUGCAUUCAAUUCCACACUGCAUUUAUGACUCCUUUCGUUUCUGGUUUUAAUCUCUUCCAAACCUUUUAUAGUCCUUUAAAAUACUUCUUUGGCUAUUUCAUUCCUCUCAUGGUUCCUGAGUUUCACCAUGGUGAGAUGGCAAUGCCACAGGAUGAGCAGGCAGUGCAAUCCAGCCCCUCCUUGCAGGAGCAGAGGAUUCCAGCAUGUCCCAAUUUCCCUGCUCAUGGCAGAGAAGAGCCACUGAAAUGAAAAUACCAGACCUAAGUCAGUGGCAAGCUGUGGGCUGACCACAGUACCUAGAGGUGGGUGCAAGGGAGGAAUCACAUCUCUGCAAGUCAAUAAAUGUCAUUAAGGGUCUUUUGUUCUUAUUUAUGUGACAGUUAAAUGUAUGAUCCCCCUGCGUGUGUGGAAACAGGAUCAAUGAUGAACUUCAAUCCACACAAUCACUUCUUAUGUGAGACAUAACCUUGACUAUUAGCUCCCAGAUCAAUCAAUAACCUAUUAUCUCGUGAGCUAAGAAAUAAAUACUGCCUUUGGCCACUAUUAAUUAGGACAGCCAGGGAGGUAUGGACCAGAAGAUGUGUGGUGUUGUUGUUCCUGAUCAUUUGAACCACAGAAUGGAGCUGAACUGAGAGAAUUUGGUUUAGAUGUUUUCUUAGUGGGUGGACUUUUUCACUUAUUGGUUUGUGGGUUUUUGAGAAGGCAAAAUGGGUCUUUUUCUAAUAUGAUCCAUUACUUCUUUUAAAAAGAGCAAAGUUUUGUCAAUGCAGAAUUGCUUCUUUUCCUUGACUUGAAGCAAUGAGGGCUCUGCUUGCAAUUGUAAUGUACUGAGUACAUUAACUCUCUCCCAGCCAAAACCAGGACACCCCUCCAAAGAAGGACAAGGAAAACAUGAACAACCCACUCUUUCAAUAAUAAAAGAUAACUCAUUGUUAGUGAAAGGAAAAUCCUGGUAAUUAAUGGAAGACAAUAUGUUCUAUUGCUAUUCCAGUUUCCAUAUCAAUAGAAUCAGAGAGCAGUCACAUUGAUCAAUGUCCCCAUUUGCUGCCACUGGCCCUCAAGCCAUUCAGUUUCUCCCCAAUAUGAACUUCUUGACCACUGUUCUAUAUUUUACUGCUGUGAAUUCAUCAUAUAUUUAAUGCCAAAUACAAAACCAGUUGCAGCAGGAUGUGAUCUGAUGCAAACACAGACAAAAAUUUGGCUAGUUCACCUUUGCUUGUAACACUCACCAAAACUGGUGCCCACUCCUGGAUAAUUAACUAAGUUAAAGAUGCAGCAUUUGUGUAUGUGCUGGACAUUUAUAGAUCUUUGUCAAUGGUUACCAAAAGCCUUAAGCUGUUCAGCUUCUGGUUGCUUUUCUAAACAUUUUCUCUUCAACAUGAUUUAUGGGGCAGUUUUUGAAGGAUGAAGCCUGGAGAAAACGCAUUACUCACAGAAAUCAGGAAUAAUUUUUGAACAAGAUCUGCCCAUCUGUGCCCAAACUGAGAGCAGAGUGCCCUGCUCUGCUCACAGGGGUGAGGCUGACAGUGGCUGGGGCUGGGACAAGGCUCCUGUCCCAGCCUCUGUCCCAGCAGGGCACACACUGGGGCUUCCACACCUACCAGUUUCAGGUGCUUCAUCACACCUGGUGGCUCUGAGCUCCCCUGGUGAUGGCUGCUCAGUUUAUACAUUUAAGUCCUUUUUGGUGUCAGCUACAGAUCUAAGAACAUCUGGGGACACAUCUGGAUGUUCCUGAUCUAGGCUCAACUCUCUCUGAACUUAGCUUUUAGGUUUCACAAGCAGUACUAAAUUCUUUAUAUGUAAAUUCUUUCCAUUUCUUUGUGCUCUAUAUCAAGGGCAAAUGUAAAGUGAUUUUAUUCUUCUUUAAUCUAUUGAGUCAAGGUACAAUUACUGCAAACUUUUCUCUGUGUGGCCCAGCUAAUAAAGAUUAAGUUUAUUACAGCACUGAAUUUUCUAAAUGAAAGCACUCCCUCCUGCUCAUGAAGGUCAGUUUUUUUCAGGACCAGGGUGGGAAGGGAACAGCACAGGUGGGGCUGACCCACCCUGAGUCACCAGCACAUCUAUUCCUGCCUGCUCUGGCCACACAAUUGCCACAGUGCCAGAAAAGGCAGGAAGCUCUGGCUGACCCUGUUUACACCCAAGUUUUGUGGAAGCAUUGGGAAAUAGGUAUCAAUUUACCUAAAUAUUGGCAGUUCCACUAAUGGCAAUAUUUGGGUUUAGGGCUGAAAUAAAUUCCAUGAGGUGCCAGAGCUGGACACUGUCUGUGCUCUACAGACUCAUAGUGGUCAAGGAGCAGCCCUGGGCAUGCAGGCUUGGUGGGUUCUAGGCUGUGUAAAUAUCACUCCUUUACUGCUCUUUAGUUGCUUUCAGCCUCUGACCCUCAUACUUUUGAAAAAAUCCAGUUUAGAUUUUCCAGUGCAUGAAUUCUGGGAAAUUAAAUUGUUCUAAAACAAAACAUAGUUUUAAUUUAAAGGAGGAAGAGCUGGCCUGACAUAACUGGCAGCAGUGAAUUCAGGAGAGCCAGAGCUGCUGCAGUGUCAUCUUUGAUAAUUUCUCUUUCUUCUUAAUAGUUUCAUUCUGUUUACCAGACUUGUGGCAAAUUAUGUCUGUUGUUUUGUGUAGGGGGAUAGAAUAUAAGAAACUAAAGAUAGUGUAGAAAGUAAUCUCACCCCUAAGGAGUUACAGCUCAGCCAAUUAUCAAAGAUUAGGAACAGGCCUGACUUUAACAGGCACAGCUGUAAGCAAUGAGAAGAAGAGUGCUAUAAAAGAGUGGGGUGGCUGGGUGAGAAGGGAGCUGGAGUCAGUUGGCUGCUUUGUGAAGAAGGAAGAGUCAGUGCUCUGAGAGGCUGCCCAUGAGAAAACACCAAGAAGGUAUGGAACUUUUGUGAUGAGGAGACAACAGUAUGGAACCCCUGCAAUAAGAUGACAAAAGUUUUGUUGUCAUAAAGUUUCCUUAAAAAAAGCUGAUAGCAUGAAAGCAAUUCAAAUAAUGACUGCAGACUUUUGAGCUGCCUGUGAACUCAGGGAGGGCUGGAGCUAUGGAACAGGUUCUUUGGCAUUUUGCUGUACAAUCAUCUGUGGGGCUUGUUCUCCAAGACAGAAAGGUCAAAUUUUCUACAUUUAUCCACAAAGCAUAAGGAAAAUGUGUUUAUUCAUUUGCAGUUACACAUUCACAAUGAAAAGCCAGCUGUGCCAACCAGCAAGGAAGUCAAAUUCAAUUUGAUAUGUGCAAUCUGCAUGAUGUGGAAAUCCUUUGUGAGUAUUCCUGGCCUUGAAUUCAGCUCAUCCUCAUUCCAUAUUUCUUCCAUUAGCCCCAUAAUUCCCACAGUCAAAGCUGACCCAGGUAGAAGCCCAGAGAAGCCAGGUCAUGGCUAAUUGAGUUUUCCAAGCCUGUUUCUGUGGAAGGCACAAGGCUGCUCUGUAGAAGUCCUGCUCCAUCAGUCUGUGCUGUGUCCAGGAGCAGCUCUGGGGAGCUCAGCACAGAGCAGGGCUGGCCCUGGAACAGGGUCAGUGCAGCAUUUUCACUAGAGAGGGACCAAAACCAGUCAGGAAUUUGAUCUGGCAGGCAGUGGGAUGUGGCUGCACCUCCUGAGCCACCAGCUCUCUGAAAAGAGGCUGUUGGUGCUGAUGACAAAGGUUUAUCACAGCUGAGAUUUUCUGUUCCUUUCUUUCAUGCAUUUGGUUUGUACCUCCAUAUUUUGCAUAUCUCACUUCUCAGAUCCCUCAAGAUCUAUUUCCCAUAGCAAUACCAUUAAUAUUUAAUAGCAAACAAUCACAUUCUUGUCUGUUGAAGCCAGAAAGUUCCUUCAUGCUCUUUUAGGGAUUGCUGAGCAUUAAUUGACUUUUAUGUAACACCAGUUAAAUGCUCCUGAUUCCAUUGUGGAGGGGACCUGGUGCACAGAGAAUAACGCUGCAAACUUCUGGCCAGAGAUAAGCAGGGUGAACUCCCACUCAAUGAGAAGUGUUGUACCAUGUACAGUAACAUUUCAGUUGGAAGCCCUCAAACAGUAAAUUACACAGCAGUCAUAUAUCUUCAACCAAAUGUACUUUUCAGUACUUGGGAAUUUCACAGUGGAUACAUAAAUUUAAGCAGCCUUUAAAUUCCUUCUUCCUGUGCUCAUGUGGGUGUGAAAAGUCAGAAUGGGAAUUUCUUUUGCAAUCAUGUCAAGUGAGGAAGGGAAGUUGAUACAUAUUUAUAUGCAUACACAUGCAUAAACACUGUUUAGCUGUUUCAAUUUGCACUUCUGUAAAAAAUUCUCUGACUAGAAAAUUUUGGUUUUGGUGCCUAAGAAUGAAACCUGUCUUAGGAAAUCAGCAGUCUGUAGGAAAUCUGCCAUUUAUCUUCACAGGCUCCUCAGUGCCAUUAUAGACCUGCUCUCCUAGUGACCCUUUUUAUCUGAGCACCCAAAGCCCUCACUCAGAGCCAUCACUGCUGGUAGAGUAGCUGAUACGUUUUCUGAUGCCUUCAUCACACAUCCUUCUCACUUAACACCUCAUUUCUUUUAUCAUCCUAAUAAAAAAGAUGCAGGAUUUCCACUGAGUGCUGUAAAGCCCUCAGUGCUUCUCUUCUGCCCAUUGCUAGAUCUGUGUCUGUGGUCCAGUCUGGCAUUGGGUGAGCUGGCAUUGAUCACAGCACUGUAAUUGUCUCUUCUGGUGCUCUUCAGCAUCACUUCCUUCUUAUUUAGCAAGGAAAGAAACCCCCAGGGUGUGCAGCUCCUCACUCAAGUGGAAGAACAUCAGGUACAUGGGCCCUGAAGACUGGGACACUUGGGGAUGCUCCUCUUGAGAUGUUCCUGAGAGCCAGAAAUGCAAAUGUCCUCAGGCAAGUCUGGAAUACCUCCUGCCCCUGAGGACAGGCAGACCUUAGACAUGGGAUGUAUUUAAAGUUUGAAUUGACUCUGCUUGAGGUCAAGAAAGUGAAAAGAGGGAGUGAAAGUUGUUUUUAUUGUGAGUCACAGGUGCUACACGUCUGGUGAUUAAACACAAAGAGCUGGAACUGGUAAUUUAUGAAUAUAUAUUUGACCUUUCUGCUGCUGAGACCCAAAAGUUUCAUGUGACUCAAUUGCACAAAGUGGUUCUGAUGACCUGGGGAGCACCAGCUGGAUAAAAACAAAAGAGCAGCACAUAACUGAGCAAAGACUGUAUUACCCAGAUGUGAGUCAGACAACACUGAGGCACAGCAGCCAAGGUCAGGCAUUACCUGGUGCCUGCUAAGGACAGGAAAACCACACCAGAGUCCCUCUCACCUGUCUGUACCAUGGAGCUCUCAGGCAGCUUGCCAAGUGGGAGGCAGCUGCUGGAGGACUCACAUCAUAAUACUGAAAUGUCAGAACAGUUUGAAAUGAUAAAUGGCAUUUUGUGCCUCUAAAGGAACUGGGAGUGCUGCACUGGCAGCUAAAGCAUUGACCACAUGGGUUGAAAGUUAAGAACACUUGGGUUCAAGACAGCAUGGUUGCAUUACAUCCAUUCUGUACCAUGAAAAGAAAUGUCAGCCAGCAUCCCUGCACCUCUGAAACAGCAGUUUCACCAGCCCAAAGCUGCUCUGAAUCGAAUCAUCUGCAAGAAGGGAUUUAAAUCGAAGGAAACAUGAUUGAGAGCUGAAAACUGUUAAGAGACAUUUUAUUUGAUGUCCAAAACCCCAAAUAUUCACAGUAAGGAGGAAAAAGUGUGUAACUUCAACAAAGGCAAGCUGAGAUCAUAGAGGAAGUUAGAAAAAAAGCAGCAGUGAAGCUGUAACAGAUGGAAAGCAGGCGACUGUGAAAAUUGUUAGUAUAUAUUAGCAGCUAGGAGCUAUCUCUGAGAUGAGAGAGGCUAAAUGACACUAGCAGGAAGUUUUGAGCAGCUGAGCUGCAGGAACUGAUAAAAAUGACAGAUAUCCUGGUUGUUAUUGCAUGAAGUGGGGAGAGGUGUCAGUGGUGAUGCAGUGAAAGAUGAAGCUGAGCUGGCAGGAGAGGCUGCAGGUCCUGCCCUGCCUCCCAUCCCAGGCUGGCUCCUGGGCUUUGCCUGGCAGCUCCUUGUGAGGUGUGGAUGGACAGUGUGCCCAGCCCAAGCCAAGGGCACUUCUCCCUGAAGGAUGCACUGGCUGCUCAGCCACCCACCUGGGCCUCCUCAAAAAUCUGCCCUGGGAAUCUCUCUUGCCCUUUGGGUCCGUGAGUUCCUCUUCAUGCCCUGUGAAUGUUCACUUGCUUUGGUCCAUGGCAGCACAGCUCUGAUGUGAUGAACAAUUCCCAGCUUCCAGAGAGCCUGGACUGGGAGGGUUGGGCUGGAGCUGGGGGAGGAAGAGGAGCUGUGAGGGAGCUGUGCUGCUUCCCAGGCUGCUGUAGCAGCUGAAUCACAAAGGAUGGAUGCUGAUGCCAUCUCCCCCUCCUGCAGCCAUGCUUUAAUAUAAAGCAGUAACAAAGCUGUUGCUGCAUCUUGGGCAUGAUUUGAGCUGGGGUUUGGUUGCAGCCAGCUUGUGGCUACUCCAGUUGAUGUGCAAGGAUGGCAACAGGAGAGCAAAGGCAGAGCUGGGCGCUGAGGGGAGAGGCUCUGCCUUGUCCAGCUCCUGGAGUAUCAGUCCUGGGCACAGCUCAGGCUUGGCUGGAGUCAGUCACACUUGCUGUCACUGUAAGUGUGACCAGUGUGUCAAGGCUGCAGCACUGUAAUGGCUGCUGGUGUCCUUAGCAAGUGAGACAAAUCUCAUUUGAGUGCACACAGCUAUCUGUGUGUGUAUACAUUAUAUAUGUGCAUGUGGGAGUAGCUGUAGGGAAGCAUGAACAUACAAAGAGAGCAAGCAUAUAAAUGUAUGUACACCCAGGAUCAUUGCAGGCUCUUUUUUCAUCAGGGGAGAAAGCACAGACAGAGACUGGGAACUCAAGUAAACUAAGUCUAGGCAAGAACAGAGGAAACCAGAAUGUGGAAGGGAACCCACAAAAUAAUGAAACAUCCAUUGUAAAGCCAAGGAAGCCAGGUCAAUUCAUUGAAAACACAUGGCUGGCACUAACCCAGCAGUGCAGGCUCAGACAGAGGAGAGGCAUGGCUGCUUCAUGCAGAGACAACAAACACAGCCCACAUAGUGAACACAGAGACACUGCCCAAGAGGCUGCCCAGUCCUCCCAGCAGUGCAGGGUUGUGACAUUUUCUGUUUCAAGCAUUCAGGGAAUCUCACAAGAAAGAGUCUAACCAGAUGAGAGUGCAAACCUUCCAGAUAAUAAACCAGUAAAGAUACAAUCUGGUGCUGCUGUCCUACUCUGCUGGCAGAACUCUCAUUGGGAAAUCUUUUGCCUCCAGUCUAAAUUGCUCUAAGUGGAGCUGCAUUGCUGAAGGAUUACCAUGGAGAAGAAACCAUUUCCAAACUGACAAGAAAGUGGAAUCUGUUCACCAGAGAGAGCUGACUCAAUUUUUGCCUUAACUCCAGGAUCCUGCUUGGAGGCCUGGCUGCCCAAGAGGGCAACACCUCUCUCUCUGCUGUGUCUGAGGGCACAGCUCUGAUGCUCAACCACCCUCUCACAGCACAGCUACAUUCAGACAGGUUUAACAGGUUUAACAUCUUAAGACAGGUUUAACUCAUUAAUUUAAUGUUUAUUUUCUGGCUGUUUAACAGUGGCCUUCAGCCAUCCUUAGGACAUCCUUGUGCUUUGUGGAAGUGCCGGGCUCUCCUCCCUUGCUGGUACCUUUGGCAGUACCAGAGGUUGCUAUUUACUGCUAUUCCUUCACAAGACCUGCCCAUGCAAAUAGUGCAUAAAAUGAUAAAAGAUUCAGUAAGCUUUCAGAAAGAUAACAUUAUUCAUCUGCUCAGGAACAUCUGGACAUUUCAGAAGUCCUCCUAAAUUUAUGGAGUCUACUCAACAAACCUAAGUUUUUACUCAGGGGUAAAUAAGCCAUUCUGGGGGCUUUGCCAGGCAUCUUCUCUCACUCUCCUGUCUCUGCACACAAUGAAUAAUGCAUCUUUCCAGCUCACAAGCCAGCAGCAUUAGCCCCUUGUCUCCUUUAGGAUAUUUUUAGGAGCUGCUCCCUGCUCCUGGUGCCAGAGGGGCUGACACAGCCCCAGCAUCCCAGCUCCUCUCUGCACUGGGGAAGGGGCUCCAGCCCCCCAGAAAAGAGCCCUGGGCUGCCCAAACCAGCCCAGCUGGGCUGCUUGCCCAGGAGCUGCAGCCCAAAAUGGGGCACUGGCCAGGGAGGGAGCUUUGCUUAUUUAAGACUGCUGUUGUCAAGAGAGAAACUGAAAUCACAGCCCUUCUGAGAAGAGGUCAAGAGCUGAGCCAAACCUCCUGGAACAGGAAGAGUUUGGAAAUAUAUGCCAGGAUCUCGAGCAGCUCUGAAAUCAUUUCCCAACAGGAAAAGGGAUGGAGAAAGAAAAAGAAGAAGAAGAAAAAGGAAAAAAAAGAAAAAAACCCCAUCAUUUGAAUCCCUUUUCUAAAUAUUUUCUCCAAGAAAGAAUCCCCAAAAACUUUGGACAGUCAGUACUUCUCACAGCUCAGAGCUGCCCCAACUCCACACACACAGGCCUUGCCCUUCUGGCUUUCCCAAUGCAGAAUCUCCCUGCUCACCUCAGAUCCCUUUCCAGAUUUAACCCUAAUGGACCAGGAACACCUUGCAUUUGUCUCUUCUGCAGAGCAAUGCUUUUCUGAAGGUACUUCUCAGAUUAUCUUCACUUUUCACAAUAUUUUUUCCUUCAGCUCUAUUCUUCAUAAUUUUUUUUUCAGGAAAACAAAUAGUAAACCCAUUAGGGUUUUUAGGAGCACUCAGAACUGCCUCCACUUUGUUAUCAUUGGUAGGAUUAGAGUUCCUUUAAAGCCCACUGCUUCUGAAAAGCCUCUCUGCUUUAUGCAUUGUACAAGUGACCCAAGCCUUACCCUGCACCCUUAGAAAAGCAGUUCCUGGGAAGAUUAAAGCAGCUGGGAUUUAGCAAAGGAGAAAUUUUCUCAUUAAUGUUGCAAUACUGAGACACAGGAUACAGACACAUUAAUAUAUUUCUUCAUGAAUUGUUAUUUGCAAUGAGAGAAAAAACACAGAGGUUUCUCCUGUCAUAUUGCCUUUGCUUUGCUGUGAAUACCAUCUAAACCCACAUAGUGAUUAACAGACUGCAUGGGUUUAACUGGUAAUUAAACAUAUUAUUUGCAUAGCACACUUCAGCCCAUGUUUAUUGUUCUUGCCUUCAAUAUUUACUUCCAGUAGAGACAGUAGGUAAUUAGUUUCAUAAAACUUCUGUCUGAGCAGAUUCACUUCUAAUGGAUCAAGAAAUACUGAAUUCAGCUUUGAGUGGAAGCAUGUUUAAAGCAAAAAUGCUGUGUCUUUGGAGAGCCAAUCUCAAGAAGGGCUGGCAUGCUUUGAGCUCUGCUUGCUCACAGCUGCAGCUCUGGCUGCUGCCCGUCCCAGGCGAUGCCUUUCCGUGGUGUGAGGCUGUGCCAGCCUGGCACAGGGAGCAGGGCUGAGCACCCCCUUCCUGCUAUCAGCCUGUGCCCUCCUCUGGGCAUUACAGGGAGGAUUUGCUUUCCAGGUGCUGGAAUGGCUCUAGACAGAACAUGCUUGCUCUGACACGCCAGGAGGGUCACUCGGUGCCCUCUCUGACACCAGGGAGGGAUUUCUGCCUCCACCUGGGGCUGCUGGCACUGCUGCAUCAGUGGCUUUGGUGCCCUCCUUUGCUGCAGCACAGGUGAUCUCAUGUGCUAGAGCAGCAGGUUUUGAGAGGUCCCAGGGGCUCCAGGCUCAGGAGCCCUUGCAGGCAGCACUUGCAGCCAGCUCAGCUCUCUGCUGGCAAGCACAGGUUGGCAUGGGCUCCCUCACUGCUCCUGUUACUGCUGCCAUGCCCUCCCUGGGGCCUCCUUCCACACCAGAUCCUUCAGCCUCAUGUGUUUUACCUUUCUGAUGGGCUGGGAGUUAUGCUGGGGGACAGCACACCCUCCUUUGAAUGAAACUCUGUCAUUUUUAGAAAGCAGGAAGGGAAUUCUCUUGCUGCCGUAAGCAAUGGGCCUGUCUGCUCCCUUACCUGCCCUUGACAGGUAGAUAAAAACACAGACAGAUAAAUGAUAUUCAACAGUUCCUUGCCACUUGGGACCAUAAGCACUUCCCUUUGGGAAGUUAGAAUGUGUUUUAGCAGCUGUGAAGAUGGAUCACAAUUCUCUGGGGAGAGCAGCUUCCAGGCAUUCCCUGUUAGUAAACACCUGCUCCCAAAUCUUUCCCACAGCCUCACUGAUGCUCAGGCAGCCCCUGCUGCAGAUCCAGGUGAAAUUGAGGGGCUGGCACUGCAGUAUCUCAGUGGCACUGGCACUUCUGUAUCAUCUGCUUUACAUCAAUCCAACAUUUUUCUGGUCUCCCCCCAGCAAACAGUUUUAUGAAAAAGGUUUUUCAUGUCAUGGGCUCAAAACAGCACAAAUUCUUCCACUGCAGUGCAAGUAUCCUCUUCAGAAACACUCUGGGUUUAUUUUCAGGGUACAUGGGUGGUGGGGGAGAGGAACAGACUGAUGCUCUAUUGCCUGGACAAGACUCCUCUGUUUCCCUGCUUGACUGGGUUUGGUUUUGUCUCAUUUGUUUUGUUUUGUUGAAACGUGUUUUUCUCAGAGGAGGAGAGAUGUGGGUGUGCUGAUGUACCUGUGUUUCACCUGUAGAAACCAGCAGAUGCUUUUGAAUCCCAGAAGGAAGGCAGCAUGGCAAAUUCAAGCUGGAAAACAUUCUUACUGAGCAACAGCUGGGAAAAAUUGAGUAGUAUUCAGGCUUGCAGCUAAAGAAAGUUUUCUGAUCACAUUGUCCUUUUAGGCAGGUUUAUAUAAUAUCAGACCAGACUACAGCAAAGUUAUAAUAGUUUAAAAAAGAAAAAAAUAAAAAGAGAGAAGGAAUUAAGUGGAUUCUCAGAGAUGCCAUGCCUGAGCAGGUUACAAACUUUCAGAAGUUGUGUUUCUCCAUUACGGCCAAUGGAAAGAUGUCAUCAAAAGCAGAGGAAGCAGAUUCCUGCAACAAGCAAGCCUGUUCCAGAAGAUAAGGAUAAGCUUAUUUCAUAAACAUUUGCCCUAGGAAGAAGGUGCAGCAGAGUGAAGUCCUGAAAUGAUAAGGGGCCACUGAUUUUAUACAUGCCUGUCAUCAAAAUUGAAAAUAGUUUAUAGGUCUUCCUGUUCAAAAAAGAAUCCAAUGCUUACAUAUACAAGGGUUAUCAGGCUUUAUUGAAAAACCUUCCUGUUCCCCAGAGGAUUUAUUUUCUUGCUCAUUAUAACAACAACUCAAAAGAUACCAAGAGAGUAAAAGUCCUGAGAAAUUACUUUCAGAAGUAAAUAAAAAGGCCCUUCUGGAGUUUGCUGUGAGAGGACAAAGCUGCUGCACAGAAGAGGAGUGGGAAGGGAAGCCCAGGGUCCAGGAGAGCAGCUUCCUUCAGAGGGAGGAGAAGGCAGGCAGGGCAAAAUAAAAACCCACAUAUGACCUGUUGAACCUCCAGUCUCUGUAAUCUGAUUUACAAUGACCCCAGCCAUGACCCCAAAGAGGAGUGGCAGCACUGUCACCCCCUGCUCCUGCCCUCGGGGUGGCUCCAGCACAGACCCCAGAGCGUGUCCUGCCCCAGGCAGCUGUGCUGGCUCAGGGGCUGCUGGCAGAGCCAGCCCAGGGUCACUGCCCUGCCUGCAGACUCUGGGGCACAGCAGAGCCAGGCCUGCAGGGCUUGGCUCACUGCCCUGCCCCUCCUGCCCCACAGCCCAGCCCCCUGGCAGGCAGCACCCUGCUCAAGUCCCCCAGGGCCACCCCGCUGUCACCGCUGACCCAGGGGCUGCCCUGUCCCUCCCCACACGCUGUCCUGGCCAGGCACCACGGUCCCCCUGGGAGGAGCACUGGGGGCAUCCUUGUGCCAAACACAAUUCAACACCAUCACUGUGCCCCAAAGCCCAGCAGGGGCAAUUGCCAGCCCCAGAUAGGCACCCCCAGAUGCCACAGUGGUGGCAGUGCCACCUCGGUUUGGGGAUGUGCUCCCUGAGCCAGCAGGGCUGGUGCCAGCAGGACCCUGGGCAGGAUGUAAAUCCUGAGUUUGUCUGAGGAACAGGGAUUGCAGGGAUUGCCCCUGGCAGGCCCUGCCCUGGUGUCCCCGUGCUCCAGCUCUGCUCCACUGCCCAGCUGGGAGCAAAGCUCCUGGAGCUCUUGCAGAAGGCUCUAGGUGCAGCUCUAGAGCUCAAGCUUUACAUUUUUUAUCCUCAUCUAAAUUCAGGUUUCUGUGCAUUCCACAGGAUAGAGCACAGGAAGGCCCCUGUGUCUUGUUUAAGAUUUUUCUUUUGAAAAGUCUAUGACUCCUUAUUUUUGUCUCUGGGGAUUUUGGAUGUUUGCAAACUUGAAAGUAAUAUGAUUAAGUGUUGAGACAAGUACAUGCACAGUGAUGGUUUUUACUUUUUUAAAAAAUUAAAAGAAAAGUCUCUCAUGAGCUGCAGGUGCUCUGUGGCCUGUCCUUGUUGCUGCAGCAGUUCCAGCCCUCCUUGCACUCUGCUGACCUCUUACACUGGCUCUUACCUGGUCAUAGACAUUAUGAGGGCUAAAAGGUUGUGGUGAAAGGAAAUAUUGCUGAACACCUGGCUUUAAAAUGGUAUUUCUGUGAUUGUUUAAUGAAUAAAAACUUCCAGUUUAUCUCC